UACGGAGGGUGCGAGCGUUGUCCGGAUUUAUUGGGUUUAAAGGGUGCGUAGGCGGCCAAAUAAGUCUGGGGUGAAAGCCCGCUGCUCAACAGCGGAACUGCCCUGGAUACUGUAUGGCUUGAGGACAGACGAGGUUGGCGGAAUAGAGGGAGUAGCGGUGAAAUGCAUAGAUACCCUCUAGAACCCCGAUUGCGAAGGCAGCUGACUAGACUGUAUCUGACGCUGAGGCACGAAAGCGUGGGGAGCGAACAGG
rnacentral:rRNA from 1 species